rnacentral:rRNA from 1 species
GUCCCGGCCCUAAACGAUGAACACUUGGCGUGGCGGGUCUCAACCCCCGCUGUGCCGGAGCUAACGCGUUAAGUGUUCCGCCUGGGGAGGUACGGUCGCAAGGCUGAAACUCAAAGGAAAUUGACGGGGGCCCGCACAAGCGGUGGAGCAUGUGGUUCAAUUCGACGCAACGCGAAGAACCUUACCUGGGCUCGAAGCGCAGUGGAAUCCGGAUGAAAGUUCGGCGUCCCGCAAGGGACCAUUGCGGAGGUGCUGCAUGGCUGUCGU